rnacentral:tRNA from 1 species
CGCGGAGUAGAGCAGUUUGGUAGCUCGUCGGGCUCAUAACCCGAAGGUCAUAGGUUCAAGUCCUGUCUCCGCAA